UAGGCGGUUACCGAAAAGCCUGUGAAAACAGAGUAGGAA
rfam:Bacteroidetes bacterium GWF2_42_66 gwf2_scaffold_2258, whole genome shotgun sequence.